GGAAGGGUAGCGAAGAGGCUAAACGCGGUGGACUGUAAAUCCGCUCCUUCGGGUUCGGGGGUUCGAAUCCCUCCCCUUCCA
rnacentral:tRNA from 1 species